AGACUUCCAGCAGAUUGUCUCUGAUCUCUAGUCUGUUCACAACCACAUCCCCUGACAGACAAGUCACAUAUACAGCAUACUAUUCCCUAUUAUAAAGGCCCAUUAUGUGUCUGACUACCAGACAUAGACAUCGGCCUACAUUUAUAAGGGUGCUAGUGUUUUACCUGUGCUAAGCAACUGUCACGGGCGGCGUUGUUCACCGUGACACGUUAGCCGUGCAUACUUGUUGCCAUGGGCAACGUGUCUUUGCUGCAUGUUUGUGCCUCCUCCUUUCUCCUGGGUCCUUUCCUGUCUGGUGCUGGAGGGGUUAACUACCUGGCUGGGUGUGGCCACUUGGUGUUCAUCCGUUCUUCGUUGUUGCCGUGGCAGGUAAGUGCGGGUUGUUUCUGGGCUCUUACCUGCCAAUUCAGUAGCUGUGCACAGCCUGCUUUUCCCUGCAUCUAGGCCAGGUGAGACUCCUGUUCAUCCGUGUCUUUCCCUAUCUUGAGGGAUUAUCAGGGUGACUCAGGGUCCUAGGUUCCUGGGUUUGAGCCGUCCUACCAUCCAGGUCCGCUCAUACGGGUAGGAAUCAGUUUUCUGUUCCCUUAUCCCGGCAUCCAGGCCUAGUUGUAUUCCCAACGGUAAGAACUUGUAGCUCAAAACCCAAAAUGGCCCUCCUCCUUGCUUCAAGAGGUAAAGGACAUAGUUGUUUCUGCUUGAUGUCCUAUAAACAGCUCGACUGGUGGGUGCAGCUGCAUCUGACUGGUGGAAGUGCGCAAGAAACUACUGUUGACGUCUUAUGAACACAACUUUUCCUGAUUCUAAAGGUGGCCUUUCACCUUGUAUAGCAGCUUUGCCUCUCAGUCCCUUCAUUCACAUGUUUGGCUUG